rnacentral:lncRNA from 10 species
UUUGACAUUUCUUUGAGGAAAUCCAGGUAUUUUGGCUAUCAUCUUUUCCAAACAUCAAGCAAGCCCUUGCUAUCAGAAUAAUAACAAUAAUCUCAAAUGUUUACGAGCACAUUUUAUGUGCCAGGCUUUAUGCACAUUACCACUUUGCAUGGAUUAAUGCAUCUGUUCCUUGUAAAAACCCUAUAGCAUUAUCCCCAUGUAACAGAUGAAGAACUUGAGUAUAUGAAGGGUGAAGGAUCUUGCCAGGGAUUAUCCAGCCAGGAAAUGGCAGAAUCACAGGCCAGGUCUGCAGGCUGGCUCCAGAGGCACACCUCACUCUCUGCUGUAACUACAACCAGCCACCAAGUUGAUCGCUUUUAGUAUUUCUUUGACCAAAUAAGAGUUCCAGCCUUAUCGUAUGAUUGGUAAUCAACCAGAAUUUUUGAGUCAUGGCUCCUCAAUGACUAUGUGGAAUUUACUAGUGAAAUUCAUAAAACUCAGUUUGACCCUGGACAUUAGAUCAUCUUCUCUUUCAAUUCCAUGGACAUUUAUUCUAUUGAGAUCUUUCGUGGGAAUAACAAAAUGACUCACGCCUUCAGCUGCCCGAUUCUCCUAAGAACCACGAUGUGAGGCUGCACGAUUGUGGACCUGGGACAGUUGGUGGAUCCUGGUAACUGGAGGAUCUUUUACAAACUUAAAUAUUUUCUUAAACAAGGGUUUGAAGAUGCCUGUUUGAAGGAAAGAAACACGUGAGUAAUAAAUAGUGAAUGCUACAGAGAAACCAGAAAGUAAGAAAGGUGCAUAGGACUGUGGUCAGGGCAGCUAUAGAAGCU